UUAGUUAUAGCUUCAAUAUGAUUGUCCUCCUACCUCUUGCAUAUAAAACAAAUGAUGCUCAUCAUAGUCCACCAUAAUUAUUGCCCAAGUUCUAUUUAACAGUUUUUGUGCAUUGUUCUGUUUUAUUACAAAAUCAGCUGAGGAAUUCAGUCGACAAUUAUAUGAUUGGUUUAGCUUCUGAAUUAUAUGGAGAAGCUGCAGAUAAGAAAUUUCGGCAGGGGUUUUGGUUAAUUUGGCACAUUACUCUUUGGGUGAUGUGGAAGUCAUGAAAUAAUAUCAUUUUCUCCAAUGGAGCAAUAUAUACGAGGCAAGUGGUUGAUGAUAUCAAAACUUUGUCGUGGCGUUGGCGUUGGCGUUGGGGGUUAAGUAGCCUUUUUUGUUUUAUGAGUGGUCCAUAAGAUGAAGUGUUCUGCUGAUACCUUCUUUGCGCUCUGUUAAAAGAUGAUGGUAUUUCUGUCAGAUUUAGAUUGAAUUGUUUUUCCGUUUUUCCUGCGAACGGUCUAUGUUGUACGCUUCGGCAGAGUUUAUUUGCUGUCUUAGUUGUUGGUGUUUUUGUCUUGGAUGAUGAUCGGUUCAGCUUGCAGAAAGAUAAUGCUGUCUUAGGAGUUCUAAUUCACUUAUGAGCUAACCAAUGUUCCAGUCACCAUACUCUUUUGGCUUGGCUUAAUUAAAUCUGGUAGGAAGAGGUCUCUUAAUGUGAAAGACUCUCAAAUAGUCAAACCCUGUCAUUAUUGUGUAGCUGUAGUAACUGAUAUUUCAGACUCAUUGGAACACUGUUUCAUGAGUGUUUCUUCAAUAUUAUCCAAAUUAUUCACAGAUUCUCUUUAAUUUAGAUACUGUUUGAAGUCGGUUUUUGGUGGCUAGAAAAGGGCUACUUACAUAGGGAAUGACCGGAAAGGCCGAGUAAAGCAUUGUAGAGUGCAGCUGCCGGGAUGUCGACUCUCAGGGGAGGUACUACGGUAGGAACAAGGCUAUGACGGGGUGCCCAUGUACAACAUUGAAUACUUGAAACCAUCAAGAUGGGGUAGGAGUUAAAGAAAUGAGAUUUCUCUCUUC